AACACUCUGAGGAAACAGCUUGCAGGAGAAAGGUUUAUUGGGGCUCACAGUUUCAGGUUGCAGUCCAUCGCAGGGGGAGGAGCCAGCCAGCAGCAGGGGUGUGAGGAAGCUGGUCCAGCCUCAUUUACAAUCAGGAACAGAGAGCAAAGGUGUAAAUGCUAAAGUGCUAGUUAGCACUCUCUACUCUAUAGGCCAGGAUUACUGGAUUACUUGCCCAGGGAAUGCCCCACCCCCAAUGCUAUGACCAGACCACGGAGUCACCUAAAAACCAACUAGGAGACCAACUCCUGUUAUGGGAGGUUCUGGAAACACCCCCGCAGGUCCUAAGAAGGAGUAUCUACGGCUGGAGAGAGAAGCUCGGAAAGCUUCCCAACAACACAGUCUCUCCACAUGACAAACCAAAGGAGGAGGUGAUGCAGCUACUCUCCAGAUGAGUUGGCCCUGCACCAGCUGCUCCCCAAGCCCGUCUCCUGCACGACUGCAGUGUCCCUGCCAUAUCCAAGGUCUUCGCAAUGGCUCCUGGAUGGCGUCAUUUGGGCCACCCACCAGUUUCAUUUCCUUCUGUCUGCAAGCCAUGAUGACGUCAGCCGGAAGCCACCGCCAGCCCAGGAGUGCCUUCCCACCAUUUCCCCCUAAAAAACAACCUUACCAAAGUCCUCGGUGAGGAGGGAGAGGUGAGGACAGGUCAGUGUCCUUUUUUAUUGCAGUGAUAAACAGGCUGGCAAAGGCGAUGGGAGAGAAAGGGGUUUACUCUGGCUCAUAGUUUAAGGGCUUGAAGCAGAUGGUCACAUCAUAGCCACAACCAGAAACAGCAUGGAAAAUGUGCUCAGCCCAGUUUUCUUCCUUCGUACA